AGGGUUUGAUCCUGGCUCAGGAUGAACGCUGGCGGUAUGCCUAACACAUGCAAGUCGUACGAGAGUUUUUAACUCUAGUGGCGGACGGGUGAGUAACACGUGAGAAUUUACCUUUAGGAGGGGGAUAACAAUUGGAAACGAUUGCUAAUACCCCAUAUGCUUUUGAGUGAAAUGGAUUUAUAUUUAUCCGCCUAGAGAGAAGCUCGCGGCUGAUUAGCUUGUUGGUAAGGUAAGAGCUUACCAAGGCGACGAUCAGUAUCUGGUUUGAGAGGACGAUCAGACACACUGGAACUGAGACACGGUCCAGACUCCUACGGGAGGCAGCAGUGGGGAAUUUUCCGCAAUGGGCGAAAGCCUGACGGAGCAAUACCGCGUGAGGGAAGACUGCCUAUGGGUUGUAAACCUCUUUUUUCAGGGAGGAAUAAAAUGACGUGUACCUGAAGAAUAAGCAUCGGCUAACUCCGUGCCAGCAGCCGCGGUAAGACGGAGGAUGCAAGUGUUAUCCGGAAUCACUGGGCGUAAAGCGUCUGUAGGUGGUUUAAUAAGUCAACUGUUAAAUCUUGAGGCUCAACUUCAAAAUCGCAGUCGAAACUAUUAGACUAGAGUAUAGUAGAGGUAAAGGGAAUUUCCAGUGGAGCGGUGAAAUGCGUAGAUAUUGGAAAGAACACCGAUGGCGAAAGCACUUUACUGGGCUAUUACUAACACUCAGAGACGAAAGCUAGGGUAGCAAAUGGGAUUAGAUACCCCAGUAGUCCUAGCCGUAAACUAUGGAUACUAGAUGUUGAACAGAUCGACCUGUGCAGUAUCAAAGCUAACGCGUUAAGUAUCCCGCCUGGGAAGUAUGCUCGCAAGAGUGAAACUCAAAGGAAUUGA
rnacentral:rRNA from 1 species